AGGCACCUCAGAAAACCCCACGC
rnacentral:miRNA from 1 species